UUAGGCACCUCUCGAUCCCGUGGUUCAACCACGGUCGCUUGGUAGAGUGUAUCGACUAUUUUUGGCACUAAGAAAUGUAUAAACCACACAAAAGCAUGCAAGAUAAUCAAACAAAACAAAACAAUCUGAAAUGUAAAGUCCAGUCCAAUUAUACAGUCCAAAAAUAGAAAAAUACGAAAAUAUAAAUCAUAUUCUAAGCUAAUCCUAAAACUACGCUCCCAUGCCUUACCCGAUGCCUCGGGCCUUGAUCACGGGCCUCCUCUGUGUACAUGAUACUUCGGGGCAUUCCCCGGUGAAUAAAUACAAUGUGUCUCGGGGCAUUCCCCGACUAAAUGAAUACAUUUUCUCAAUUUUUGUGCGUUAAAAUUGAAAGAACCAUUCAACAAAUAUUCACACGUUCACCAAAAUCAUAAUCCUCCAUUUUUCUACAAUUUACCUACCCAAACUUAGUAUUUGCCGACCCCUUUAACGAUCUAACACAUGAUACUAUCAAUGUCAAUACUAUCCAAAAAUGAAUAAAAACUAAUGAACGUUCAUCUUAUUCGAUUCUCAACUCUUCCCCCCCAAAUUUCUUUCUCAACAUGAUUAAACCAAUUCAAUACGCAAUCCACCAAUCAAGUCUUCAUAUUCAAAUCCCAAAUCAACCAACAUAAAAACAGAGAUUCAAACAUAUCAAAUAACAAAUCAUUCAUAUUCACAUAAAAAAAAUUUAAAAAAAAAAAGGAAGAUAGAAUUGGACCUCAAGUGUCGCUUUCAAUAUAUCGGAGAUAGAACCACGCCUGAGAACCUCAACUUCUAGCUCAAUUUUAUUCCGAACACUUAGCGAUGGAUUUGGAGCUCACGAACCAAGACCUCGAUUCAACGAAUUCAACAUGGACCCGACAACUCGAUAAAAUUCAUAAAAAACGAACAUACCCAAAAGACCAACGAUUCAAACUGAAAUUUAUGGACUGUUUUGACCUCGGAUUCUGCUACUUACCUGAGUUUCGGAAAGCUCAGAAAGCGCCGAAAGAUGAUAACAACCCAAUUUUAAGGUAACCGUGGUGUUUUCCGGAGAACAGCUCGGCGAAAAUGUUAACCUCGACUUCUCCCUCGCAGCUCUCUCUCCCUCUCGCAGCUCACUCUCCCUCUCUUGCAGCUCUCUCUCGCAAUUUUCAGUGUAUGGGUGGAACUCGUGAAUGGCCCAAAAUCCCCAUCCCCUUCUUUGUUUGUAUUCAAUGAAUAAGAGCCUGGAAUAUUGGAACCAAAAUAUGGUGUAUAUGUUCCAAAUCCGUGAUUUUAUUUGGUGAGAGGAGUGACGUGUGUUUGGUGAGGAUGAGUGAUGACGGAGAGUGUUUUUUGUGAGGGAAUCGUGAGUGGUCUGGCAAAAAUGGCGUCUUCUUUUCUUGAAGAUUAUGACGAUGUUUUUCCUUGUGGGCCCCCUGUGGAGAAGAAGCUGUGUAUGUAUAUGUGGCUGUGAGGGUGUUUUUGUGAAGAAGAAAGGAAGCCAAAAAUUUUUCCCUCUUUCUGUAUCCGAGCCCCCCUCCUUUUAUGAUCAGAAUCAUGACAAA
rnacentral:lncRNA from 1 species